UACGAAGGUCCCAAGCGUUGUUCGGAAUCACUGGGCGUAAAGCGUGUGUAGGCUGCGCGGAAAGUCAAAUGUGAAAGCCCAGGGCUUAACCCUGGAACUGCAUUCGAUACUCCCGUGCUUGAGUAAUGGAGAGGUAAGUGGAAUUCCCGGUGUAGCAGUGAAAUGCGUAGAUAUCGGGAGGAACAUCAAUGGCGAAGGCAACUUACUGGACAUUUACUGACGCUCAGACACGAAGGCCAGGGGAGCGAAAGGG
rnacentral:rRNA from 1 species